CCUACGGGAGGCAGCAGUGGGGAAUAUUGCACAAUGGGCGCAAGCCUGAUGCAGCCAUGCCGCGUGUGUGAAGAAGGCCUUCGGGUUGUAAAGCACUUUCAGCGGGGAGGAAGGCGUUAAGGUUAAUAACCUUGGCGAUUGACGUUACCCGCAGAAGAAGCACCGGCUAACUCCGUGCCAGCAGCCGCGGUAAUACGGAGGGUGCAAGCGUUAAUCGGAAUUACUGGGCGUAAAGCGCACGCAGGCGGUCUGUCAAGUCGGAUGUGAAAUCCCCGGGCUCAACCUGGGAACUGCAUUCGAAACUGGCAGGCUAGAGUCUUGUAGAGGGGGUAGAAUUCCAGGUGUAGCGGUGAAAUGCGUAGAGAUCUGGAGGAAUACCGGUGGCGAAGGCGGCCCCCUGGACAAAGACUGACGCUCAGGUGCGAAAGCGUGGGGAGCAAACAGGAUUAGAUACCCCGGUAGUC
rnacentral:rRNA from 1 species